UUAAGGUAUACAUAUACAAUAAAAAAAAAAUUAAUUCUUGCUAAAGAUUAAGUAAUAAGAUGAGAGAUAUAAAAAAUUUUUGUUCUUUUAGUUAAAUAUAGAUUAUUAAAUUUUGUUGUUGAAGGUGUCAGGUUCUUUUUAUUAUAUGUAAAUAGUUUAGGUAUUUUUAUUAAUUAGUAGUAAAAUUUGUGCCAGCAACUGCGGUUAGACUAAUACUAAAUUAAUUUUUUUAAAGAUAUAGUUAAUAAAUUAAAAUAAUGUAGUAUAUUUUAUUGGUGAAAUGAAAUUUUGUAUAUUUAAAUAAUAUUUUAUAUGAGAGAUAUAAUAAAACUAGGAUUAGAUACCCUAUUAUAAAUAAAAAAUUAAAAGAGUAUAGAUAAAAUAAAAGAAUUUGGCGGCCUUAGAAGUCUAUUUAGAGGAACUUGUUUUAUAAUCGAUAAUCCUCGAGAUAAAUAACUGGUUUUUUUUUUAUAUACCGCCAUUUAAGCAUUUUUUUAAAAAAAAGUUUAUUUAGUUUUUAAAAAAUAGGUCAAGGUGUAGAUAUGAGUCAGUAAAAAUUAGUUACAUUAUAAAUUAAUAAGCGGAAUGUUGAUUAGUUAUUUGGCAUAAAGUAGGAUUUAAUGGUAAAUUAUUAAAUUAUAUUUAAUUGAAAUAGCGCUUUUUGGUGUACAAAUUGCCCGUCACUCUCUUUGAGAUAAGUCGAAACAUAGUAGGUUAACUGGAAAGUUAACCUAG
rnacentral:ncRNA from 1 species